AACGAACGCUGGCGGCAGGCCUAACACAUGCAAGUCGAGCGCUUCACUUCGGUGAGGAGCGGCGGACGGGUUAGUAACGCGUGGGAAUAUACCCUUCACUAUGGAAUAGCCUCGGGAAACUGAGAGUAAUACCAUAUACGCCCUACGGGGGAAAGAUUUAUCGGUGAAGGAUUAGCCCGCGUUAGAUUAGAUAGUUGGUGGGGUAAUGGCCUACCAAGUCUACGAUCUAUAGCUGGUUUGAGAGGAUGAUCAGCAACACUGGGACUGAGACACGGCCCAGACUCCUACGGGAGGCAGCAGUGGGGAAUCUUAGACAAUGGGCGCAAGCCUGAUCUAGCCAUGCCGCGUGAGUGACGAAGGCCUUAGGGUCGUAAAGCUCUUUCGCCAGAGAUGAUAAUGACAGUAUCUGGUAAAGAAACCCCGGCUAACUCCGUGCCAGCAGCCGCGGUAGUACGAAUGGAGCGAGCGUUGUUCGGAAUCAUUGGGCGUAAAGCGUAUGUAGGCGGACUAGAAAGUCGGGAGUGAAAUCCCAGGGCUCAACCCUGGAAUUGCUUCCGAAACUUCUAGUCUAGUGUCCCGGAGGGGUUGACGGAAUUCCUAGUGUAGAGGUGAAAUUCGCAGAUAUUAGGAGGAACACCAGUGGCGUAGGCGGUCAACUGGACGGGUACAGACGCUGAGAUACGAAAGCGUGGGGAGCAAACAGGAUUAGAUACCCUGGUAGUCCACGCCGUAAACGAUGUGUGCUAGAUGUCGGGUCUUUAAGAUUCGGUGUCGCAGCUAACGCACUAAGCACACCGCCUGGGGAGUACGGUCGCAAGAUUAAAACUCAAAGGAAUUGACGGGGACCCGCACAAGCGGUGGAGCAUGUUGUUUAAUUCGAAGCAACGCGAAGAACCUUACCUACACUUGACAUACUCGUCGGGGAUUACAGAGAUGUUUUCCUUCGGUUCGGCCGGACGAUGUACAGGUGCUGCACGGCUGUCGUCAGCUCGUGUCGUGAGAUGUUUGGUUAAGUCCAGCAACGAGCGCAACCCCUAUCGUAUGUUACCAGCAUUUAGUUGGGGACUCAUGCGAGACUGCCGGUGUUAAGCCGGAGGAAGGUGGGGACGACGUCAAGUCAUCAUGGCCCUUACGUGUAGGGCUACAAACGUGCUACAAUGGGUACUACAGUGAGCAGCGAGGUCGCGAGGCCCAGCUAAUCUCAAAAAGUAUUCUCAGUUCGGAUAGGACUCUGCAACUCGAGUCCUUGAAGUCGGAAUCGCUAGUAAUCGUGGAUCAGCAUGCCACGGUGAAUACGUUCCCGGGUCUUGUACACACCGCCCGUCACACCAUGGGAGUUGGUUUUACCCGAAGGCGCCGCGCUAACUUUGGAGGCAGGCGACCACGGUAGGGUCAGCGACUGGGGUG
rnacentral:rRNA from 1 species